UACAGAGGGUGCAAGCGUUAAUCGGAAUUACUGGGCGUAAAGCGUGCGUAGUCGGUUAUCUAAGUCAGAUGUGAAAUCCCCCGGCUUAACCUGGGAACUGCGUCUGAUACUGGGAGGCUUGAGUAUGGGAGAGGGAUGUAGAAUUCCAGGUGUAGCGGUGAAAUGCGUAGAUAUCUGGAGGAAUACCGGUGGCGAAGGCGGCAUCCUGGACCAUAACUGACGCUGAGGCGCGAAAGCUAGGGGAGCAAACGGG
rnacentral:rRNA from 1 species